UGGAGGGUAUUUGAGUUUCAAGAGAAAGCAAACUCCCCACAGGAUAUCAUGUGUCAACACAUUACACCAGUGAAACAAGCAGGAAAUAAUUAUGCAUUAUCAGAAUUUGUGAUAACGAACUCUCAUUGCUGAUCGUGCUUUGAGGUCUGACACUUUCUAACAGCUUAAUGAAAGCUGCCUUUUUCUAAUGAAUUCUUUAAUGAAUGCCAAAGAGACUUAACUACAGACUGCAUUUAAGAAGCUAGCAUUUUCACAGCUACACAGGUAGAUGAAUCUGAUAGCAGAGAGCUUUGUAUUCAGCUAUUUCCUUUCUGCAAAAUUAGGUUUUUUUAAAUGUACUCAUGCUGCAAAUACUUAUGCUGCUCCCACCACAGGAUUUUCAAAACAUCAAAAGCAGAUUAAGGAAAACAAGGAAAUAAAAAAACAUAAAACCUUCAUGAGAGAGCAUAGUGAUUUCCUUUGUAACUUUCUGCAUGUGACAUGAAACACAAAAUGGCAGAUGCCUCAAAGACUGUCCUGCAGCAGGCAUGGAGACUCCAUUACAUUUAAAGCCACAGUACACAGGAACAAGAAAGGAGAUUGGCCUUCUGUGCUGUGUGUCUGGUCUCUUGCUCAGACUGUACCAGUCUUUAUCAAUUCUUUGCUACAGACUCAGUUUUCAACUUUUAGGGCCAUACAAGGCCCUUCUUUCCUUGCACAAGUGGUAUGUUGAUGCUGAUGGAAAUUGUUC